ACGGGAGGCAGCAGUGGGGAAUAUUGCACAAUGGGGGAAACCCUGAUGCAGCGACGCCGCGUGAGUGAGGAAGUUAUUCGUAAUGUAAAGCUCUAUCAGCAGGGAAGAAAAUGACGGUACCUGACCAAGAAGCCCCGGCUAACUACGUGCCAGCAGCCGCGGUAAUACGUAGGGGGCAAGCGUUAUCUGGAUUUACUGGGUGUAAAGGGAGCGUAGACGGCUUUGCAAGUCUGAUGUGAAAGGCGGGGGCUCAACCCCUGGACUGCAUUGGAAACUGCUGGGCUCGAGUGCCGGAGGGGUAAGCGGAAUUCCUAGUGUAGCGGUGAAAUGCGUAGAUAUUAGGAGGAACACCAGUGGCGAAGGCGGCUUACUGGACGGUAACUGACGUUGAGGCUCGAAAGCGUGGGGAGCAAACAGGAUUAGAUACCCUGGUA
rnacentral:rRNA from 1 species